UACAGAGGUCCCAAGCGUUGUUCGGAUUUACUGGGCGUAAAGGGUGCGCAGGUGGCGGUCUAAGUCUGAUGUCAAAUCUCCGGGCCCAACCCGGAAACCGCGUCGGAUACUGGGUCGCUUGAGGGUGGGAGGGGGGAUCGGAAUUCUCGGUGUAGCAGUGAAAUGCGUAGAUAUCGAGAGGAACACCGGUGGCGAAGGCGGAUCCCUGGACCAUUCCUGACACUGAGGCACGAAAGCUUGGGGAGCAAACAGG
rnacentral:rRNA from 1 species